rnacentral:rRNA from 1 species
AAUACGUUCCCGGGCCUUGUACACACCGCCCGUCACACCACGAAAGCCGGAAACGCCCGAAGCCGGUGGCCCAACCCGCAAGGGAGGGAGCCGUCGAAGGUGGGGUCGGUGAUUGGGGUG